GACUGGUCCAAAGAUGGUAAGUUAUCUCAAUUGAUUGUUCAUAGUCAGUUAGAUAUCGAACUCCUUGUUGUACUCUUUCCCCCCUUCUUACUACUGCACUUGACUAAAAA
rnacentral:Y_RNA from 1 species